rnacentral:rRNA from 1 species
GACGAACGCUGGCGGCGUGCUUAACACAUGCAAGUCGAACGGAAAGGCCCUGCUUUUGUGGGGUGCUCGAGUGGCGAACGGGUGAGUAACACGUGAGUAACCUGCCCUUGACUUUGGGAUAACUUCAGGAAACUGGGGCUAAUACCGGAAAGGAGCUCCUGCUGCAUGGUGGGGGUUGGAAAGUUUCGGCGGUUGGGGAUGGACUCGCGGCUUAUCAGCUUGUUGGUGGGGUAGUGGCUUACCAAGGCUUUGACGGGUAGCCGGCCUGAGAGGGUGACCGGCCACAUUGGGACUGAGAUACGGCCCAGACUCCUACGGGAGGCAGCAGUGGGGAAUAUUGCACAAUGGGCGGAAGCCUGAUGCAGCAACGCCGCGUGCGGGAUGACGGCCUUCGGGUUGUAAACCGCCUUCGCCUGUGACGAAGCGUGAGUGACGGUAAUGGGUAAAGAAGCACCGGCUAACUACGUG